AACGAACGCUGGCGGCAUGCCUAACACAUGCAAGUCGAACGGGUACCUUCGGGUUCUAGUGGCGCACGGGUGCGUAACGCGUGGGAAUCUGCCCUUGGGUUCGGAAUAACUCAGCGAAAGCUGUGCUAAUACCGGAUGAUGUCGAAAGACCAAAGAUUGAUCGGCCGAGGAUGAGGCCGCGUUGGAUUAGCUAGUUGGUGGGGGAAAGGCCUACCAAGGCGACGAUCCAUAGCUGGUCUGAGAGGAUGAUCAGCCACACUGGGACUGAGACACGGCCCAGAAUCCUACGGGAAGCAGCAGUGGGGAAUAUUGGACAAUGGGCGAAAGCCUGAUACAGCCAUGCCGCGUGAGUGAUGAAGGCCUUAGGGUUGUAAAGCUCUUUUACCCGGGAUGAUAAUGACAGUACCGGGAGAAUAAGCUCCGGCUAACUCCGUG
rnacentral:rRNA from 1 species